UUUAGAUGCUUUAGGGCUUAGGGAAAAUACUCUAGUUAUUUUUGCAAGUGAUAAUGGUGCUGCUGUUAUGGCUCCAAUCCAGGAUUUGAAU
rnacentral:tRNA from 1 species